AAAACGACUCUCAGCAACGGAUAUCUAGGCUCUCGCAUCGAUGAAGAACGUAGCGAAAUGCGAUACUUGGUGUGAAUUGCAGAAUCCCGCGAAUCAUCGAGUUUUUGAACGCAAGUUGCGCCCGAAGCCUUUCGGCCGAGGGCACGCCUGCCUGGGUGUCACGC
rnacentral:rRNA from 1 species